rnacentral:rRNA from 1 species
GCAGGCGCGAAACCUUUACACUGUACGCAAGUGCGAUAAGGGGACUCCGAGUGUGAAGGCAUAGAGCCUUCACUUUUGUACACCGUAAGGUGGUGUACGAAUAAGGGCUGGGCAAGACCGGUGCCAGCCGCCGCGGUAAUACCGGCAGCCCGAGUGAUGGCCGAUAUUAUUGGGCCUAAAGCGUCCGUAGCUGGCCGGACAAGUCCGUUGGGAAAUCUGUUCGCUUAACGAGCAGGCGUCCAGCGGAAACUGUUCGGCUUGGGACCGGAAGACCUGAGGGGUACGUCCGGGGUAGGAGUGAAAUCCUGUAAUCCUGGACGGACCACCGGUGGCGAAAGCGCCUCAGGAGGACGGAUCCGACAGUGAGGGACGAAAGCUAGGGUCUCGAACCGGAUUAGAUACCCGGGUAGUCCUAGCUGUAAACGAUGCCCGCUAGGUGUGGCGCAGGCUACGAGCCUGCGCUGUGCCGUAGGGAAGCCGAGAAGCGGGCCGCCUGGGAAGUACGUCUGCAAGGAUGAAACUUAAAGGAAUUGGCGGGGGAGCACUACAACCGGAGGAGCCUGCGGUUUAAUUGGACUCAACGCCGGACAUCUCACCAGCUCCGACAGUAGUAAUGACGGUCAGGUUGAUGACCUUACCCGAUGCUACUGAGAGGAGGUGCAUGGCCGCCGUCAGCUCGUACCGUGAGGCGUCCUGUUAAGUCAGGCAACGAGCGAGACCCGCACUCCUAAUUGCCAGCAGUACCCUUUGGGUAGCUGGGUACAUUAGGUGGACUGCCGCUGCUAAAGCGGAGGAAGGAACGGGCAACGGUAGGUCAGUAUGCCCCGAAUGAGCUGGGCAACACGCGGGCUACAAUGGUCGAGACAAUGGGAUGCAACUCCGAGAGGGGGCGCUAAUCUCCUAAACUCGAUCGUAGUUUGGAUUGAGGGCUGAAACUCGCCCUCAUGAAGCUGGAUUCGGUAGUAAUCGCGUGUCAGAAGCGCGCGGUGAAUACGUCCCUGCUCCUU